rnacentral:rRNA from 1 species
AAGGAUGGACCCGCGUCUGAUUAGCUAGUUGGUGAGGUAACGGCUCACCAAGGCGACGAUCAGUAGCCGGUCUGAGAGGAUGAACGGCCACAUUGGGACUGAGAUACGGCCCAGACUCCUACGGGAGGCAGCAGUGGGGAAUAUUGGGCAAUGGGGGAAACCCUGACCCAGCAACGCCGCGUGAAGGAAGAAGGCCUUCGGGUUGUAAACUUCUUUUACCAGGGACGAAGAACGUGACGGUACCUGGAGAAAAAGCAACGGCUAACUACGUGCCAGCAGCCGCGGUAAUACGUAGGUUGCAAGCGUUGUCCGGAUUUACUGGGUGUAAAGGGCGUGUAGGCGGAGAUGCAAGUUGGGAGUGAAAUCCCGGGGCUCAACCCCGGAACUGCUCUCAAAACUGCAUCCCUUGAGUAUCGGAGAGGCAAGCGGAAUUCCUAGUGUAGCGGUGAAAUGCGUAGAUAUUAGGAGGAACACCAGUGGCGAAGGCGGCUUGCUGGACGACAACUGACGCUGAGGCGCGAAAGCGUGGGGAGCAAACAGGAUUAGAUACCCUGGUAGUCCACGCUGUAAACGAUGAAUACUAGGUGUGGGCAUGCAAGGCAUGUCCGUGCCGCAGCUAACGCAAUAAGUAUUCCGCCUGGGGAGUACGGCCGCAAGGUUGAAACUCAAAGGAAUUGACGGGGGCCCGCACAAGCAGCGGAGCAUGUGGUUUAAUUCGAAGCAACGCGAAGAACCUUACCAGGUCUUGACAUCCAGUAAAACUUGUAGAGAUACAUCGUGACUUCGGUCAUACUGAGACAGGUGGUGCAUGGUUGUCGUCAGCUCGUGUCGUGAGAUGUUGGGUUAAGUCCCGCAACGAGCGCAACCCUUAUCGUCCGUUACUAACGCGUAGAGGCGAGGACUCAGACGAGACCGCCGGGGACAACUCGGAGGAAGGUGGGGACGACGUCAAAUCAUCAUGCCCCUUACGACCUGGGCUACACACGUGCUACAAUGGGUACAACAAAGAGAUGCGAAAUCGUAAGGUGGAGCGAAACUCAUAAAAGUACUCUCAGUUCAGAUUGUGGGCUGCAACCCGCCCACAUGAAGUUGGAGUUGCUAGUAAUCGCGAAUCAGCAUGUCGCGGUGAAUACGUUCCCGGGCCUU